AUUGAACGCUGGCGGCAUGCUUUACACAUGCAAGUCGAACGGCAGCGCGGGCUUCGGCCUGGCGGCGAGUGGCGAACGGGUGAGUAAUGCAUCGGAACGUGGCCAGUAGUGGGGGAUAGACCGGCGAAAGCCGGAGUAAUACCGCAUACGACCUGAGGGUGAAAGCGGGGGACGGAAAGGCCGCGGGCAAUGGGAGCGGCGGGUGUGGGGUUGAGUAGUUGGUGGGGUAAGGGCUUGCCAGGGCGACGAUCCGUAGCUGGUCUGAGAGGACGACCAGCCACACUGGCACUGAGACACGGCCCAGACUCCUACGGGAGGCAGCAGUGGGGAAUUUUGGACAAUGGGGGCAACCCUGAUCCAGCCACGCCGCGUGCGGGAAGAAGGCCUUCGGGUUGUAAACCGCUUUUGUUCGGGAAGAAAUCCUAUGGGCUAAUACCCCGGGGGGAUGACGGUACCGGAAGAAUAAGCACCGGCUAACUACGUG
rnacentral:rRNA from 1 species